AGAGUUUGAUCCUGGCUCAGGACGAACGCUGGCGGCGUGCCUAACACAUGCAAGUCGAGCGGAGACAGUGAGUAGCUUGCUAUGAGCUGUUUUAUCGGCGGACGGGUGAGUAACGCGUGAGCAACCUUUCCCAGACAGGGGAAUACACACCGAAAGGUGUACUAAUACCGCAUAAGACCACGGGAUCACAUGGUUCUGGGGUAAAAGAUUUAUCGGUUUGGGGUGGGCUCGCGUCCGAUUAGGUAGUUGGUGAGGUAACGGCCCACCAAGCCGACGAUCGGUAGCCGACCUGAGAGGGUGAUCGGCCACAUUGGGACUGAGACACGGCCCAAACUCCUACGGGAGGCAGCAGUGGGAAUAUUGGGCAAUGGAGGAAACUCUGACCCAGCAACGCCGCGUGGAGGAAGAAGGUUUUCGGAUCGUAAACUCCUGUCCUUGGAGACGAGUAGAAGACGGUAUCCAAGGAGGAAGCCCCGGCUAACUACGUGCCAGCAGCCGCGGUAAUACGUAGGGGGCAAGCGUUGUCCGGAAUAAUUGGGCGUAAAGGGCGCGUAGGCGGCUCGGUAAGUCUGGAGUGAAAGUCCUGCUUUUAAGGUGGGAAUUGCUUUGGAUACUGUCGGGCUUGAGUGCAGGAGAGGUUAGUGGAAUUCCCAGUGUAGCGGUGAAAUGCGUAGAGAUUGGGAGGAACACCAGUGGCGAAGGCGACUAACUGGACUGUAACUGACGCUGAGGCGCGAAAGUGUGGGGAGCAAACAGGAUUAGAUACCCUGGUAGUCCACACUGUAAACGAUGAAUGCUAGGUGUAGGGGGUAUCGACCCCUUCUGUGCCGCAGUCAACACAAUAAGCAUUCCGCCUGGGGAGUACGGCCGCAAGGUUGAAACUCAAAGGAAUUGACGGGGGCCCGCACAAGCAGCGGAGCAUGUGGUUUAAUUCGACGCAACGCGAAGAACCUUACCAGGUCUUGACAUCCACUUAAACUUACAGAGAUGUAAGGUGUGCUUGCACAAAGUGAGACAGGUGCUGCAUGGUUGUCGUCAGCUCGUGUCGUGAGAUGUUGGGUUAAGUCCCGCAACGAGCGCAACCCUUAUCUUCAGUUACUAACGCGUGAGGGUGAGGACUCUGAAGAGACUGCCGGGGACAACUCGGAGGAAGGUGGGGACGACGUCAAAUCAUCAUGCCCCUUAUGACCUGGGCUACACACGUGCUACAAUGGCCACGACAGAGAGAAGCGAAAUCGCAAGGUAGAGCGGAACUCAAAAAAGUGGUCCCAGUUCGGAUUGUGGGCUGCAACCCGCCCACAUGAAGUCGGAGUUGCUAGUAAUCGCGGAUCAGCAUGCCGCGGUGAAUACGUUCCCGGGCCUUGUACACACCGCCCGUCACACCAUGGGAGUUGGGAGUGCCCAAAGCCGGUGAGGCAACCGCAAGGAGCCAGCCGUCUAAGGCAAGACCAAUGACUGGGGUGAAGUCGAACAAGGUA
rnacentral:rRNA from 1 species